GGUGCUAUAGUUCAGUGGUAGAGUGCUUGCCUUGCAUGCAUGAGGCACUGGGUUUGAUCCUCAGCACCA
rnacentral:tRNA from 1 species